UGCGUAGGCGGUGGCGUAAGUCAGAAGUGAAAGUUGACGGCUUAACCGUAAAAUUGCUUUUGAUACUGCGUUACUUGAAUCAGGUUGAGGUCGGCGGAAUGUGGCAUGUAGCGGUGAAAUGCUUAGAUAUGCCAUAGAACACCAAUUGCGAAGGCAGCUGACUGGACCUGUAUUGACGCUGAGGCACGAAAGCGUGGGGAGCGAACA
rnacentral:rRNA from 1 species